CACACCAGUGUUCCCACUCCUCCAAUUACUGCAUUUGAGAGAGAGAGAGCAAAAAGAUGGCUAGUUUCAGAUUUUCAUUCGGUUUCGGAGUGGUGGCCGCCGUUGUUCUCUCUCUCAUCUUCACUCUUUACAUGCCUGUCGCUGUUCAUGCCCAAUCCCUAGCUCCAGCACCUGCUCCUACCAGCGACGGAACGUCCAUAGAUCAAGGGAUUGCGUAUGUUUUGAUGAUGUUGGCUUUGGCACUCACUUAUCUCAUCCACUCCUCCACCUUCUGAAAAGGACGCUCUUUCACUUGAAAGAAGGUCUUAUGUUUAUUAUUAUUGAUACAACUAUUAGCGUUAGGAAUCAUAGAUAUAAUAGACAACGUUAUUCCCGAAAUACUAAUGACUGGGAAAAAAUUUCCCAUAGGAAUUCGACCUUGUUUUUUCGGAUUCAUUUUCCCAGUGAUGUAAGGGUAUUUGUUUUUUACUGGCUUCUUAAUGUCAUUUUCUAUUUGCUGAUGCCAUUCUAAUU